AGAGUGGUCACUCGGCUCUCUUGUCAAUAUAAUAAAUAAUAUUUGCUUUAGGUCAUGUGUAUGAGUGGGCUCGUCUUUAAAUGACCCGCCUAGUUCCUGUUGAAAUUCUAAAUGUGAUUGGCUACGCUCUGUGAGGGUGGAUUUCACUUACGCAUUCCGUUUGGAACAAUAAAUAGAGCGAACAAGGCUCCUUCCAGUUCACAAGUCUGAGAAGACGCAUGAAGAAGUUCUUGCUGCAACAGUGAUUGAACGGAACUCCUCUGCCUUCGUCCCGCAUUAUAGAACAUUCCUGGUUGUUGACAUAGCACUAACUUGAACUGUAAUAGCAAAAUAGUCGAAGAAACUCUAUUUUUGUAACGUUCAUUUAGAUAUUCAAGAAAAUCUGCCGAAAUGGAGUCUCAGAUCCGCCAGAACUAUCACCACGAUUGCGAAGCUGCCGUCAACCGGAUGAUGAACUUGGAGAUGUUUGCCUCCUACACCUACACUUCAAUGGGUUUCUAUUUCUCCCGUGACGAUGUGGCUCUGCCUGGUUUCGCAUUUCUUCAAGGAGAACAGCGACGAGGAGCGGGAGAACGCCGACAAGCUACUCUCCUUCCAGAACAAGCGAGGUGGACGCAUUUUACUCCAGGACAUCAAGAAGCCAGAAUGUGAUGAGUGGGGCAAUGGGCUGGAGGCCAUGCAGUGUGCUCUGCAGCUGGAGAAGAAUGUGAACCAGGCCCUGCUGGACCUGCACAAGAUUGCCUCUGACAAGGUUGACCCCCAUCUGUGUGACUUUCUGGAGACUCAUUACCUGAAUGAUCAGGUGGAGGCCAUUAAGAAGCUGGGAGACCACAUCACCAACCUCACCAAGAUGGAUGCUGUCAACAACAAGAUGGUAGAGUACCUGUUUGACAAGCACACCCUGGGAGGCCAGAGCUAAACCACUUCCAUCCCCAGGCUACGGCCUCCAGCCUCAGACCAGGACUCCUGGCUUCUCUGAGAUCCUACUGGCUUUACAUUUAUAGGGAGGGGAGUGUUAAACUGGUGCAAUGCAACACAGCUGUAACAUUGAGGUGUUUCUGUUGGAAACACUACUGUAUUUGAGGCAAGGCAUCUUGUAAAACAAUUAAAAAGAUCACAAAUGUUUUUGUUGAUGACUUCUAAGUGUUGACCUGUAGUAAUGAUUCAGUCUAUUCAGGUUCUUUGCUCAGUAAGACAGAGCAAAGAACCUGAAUAUCUUCAUACCAGUGAUAAAUACUGACAAUUGUAGACCUACUCGUGGCUGAGGGUCAUAACAAUAGAAGUUUAAUAAAGCAUGUUACGUCUGACCACA